ACCUGGUGAUGGAGACGGCCGCUUCCCUCCCGGGCAUCACCGGGGAGGGGGCUGCACCCCAAUUAGCCCGAGGGACCGGGACAACGUGCCACCGCGGCGGGAUGGAGGGGUUCAUUUCAGCAGAUCAAUCAAUGUUGAUGAAGUGAAAGCCCUGCCUGCAUUAACAACACAAAAAUGCACCAUAGUGGAUGUUCCUUUUGGUGUUGCCAUGGCAGAUGUGAGGAUCAAUCCAAGGUAACACUCAAAAAUUACAGUCAUGAUGGGAAGGUACAACAAGAUCUGGACAGAGACCCUGGAGCAGGUGUUCACCGUGUACCUGAGGUCAGCUGCACCUACCGACACAGCACCUGCCAGAGCUGCCCUGGUGAGGGUUACAAUCCUGCUGCACAGGGAGUGCCCAGGACACUUUGUGCUGC